GCAUUAAACCUAACUAACUGAAUUUGGGAGAAGGUGGCUUUGGAUCUGUCUACAAGGGUACAUUGCUAGAGGGGAAAGAGAUAGCAGUAAAAA